GUUGAGGCCAGACAGACAGGGGGCAUAGGACUGCAUAUUUGCUCUCAGAGUUACUUCUACAGCGACGAUAGGUUCAACUACAACUAUGCGCAGGCCAAAGCCACA